GAAAGAGGGGGACCUGCUUGCAGGCCUCUCGCGAGCGGAGCGGCCGAUGACUGAUUAGCCGGUUGGUGAGGUAACGGCUCACCAAAGCAACGAUCAGUAGCUGGUCUGAGAGGACGACCAGCCACACUGGGACCGAGACACGGCCCAGACUCCUACGGGAGGCAGCAGUGGGGAAUUUUGGACAAUGGGCGCAAGCCUGAUCCAGCUAUUCCGCGUGUGGGAUGACGGCCCUCGGGUUGUAAACCACUUUAGUAGAGAACGAAAAGGAGCUAUCGAAUAAAUAGCUCUGCUGACGGUACUCUAAGAAUAAGCACCGGCUAACUACGUGCCAGCAGCCGCGGUAAUACGUAGGGUGCGAGCGUUAAUCGGAAUUACUGGGCGUAAAGGGUGUGCAGGCGGCUGAGUAAGACAGAUGUGAAAUCCCCGGGCUUAACCUGGGAACCGCAUAUGUGACUGCUUGGCUAGAGUGCGUCAGAGGGAGGUGGAAUUCCACGUGUAGCAGUGAAAUGCGUAGAUAUGUGGAAGAACACCGAUGGCGAAGGCAGCCUCCUGGGACGCAACUGACGCUCAUACACGAAAGCGUGGGGAGCAAACAGGAUUAGAUACCCUGGUAGUCCACGCCCUAAACGAUGUCAACUAGUUGUUGGGGAUUAAAAUUCUCA
rnacentral:rRNA from 1 species